rnacentral:lncRNA from 10 species
UGGGACUACAGGCGCCCGCCACCACGCCCGGCUAAUUUUUUGUAUUUUUAGUAGAGACAGGGUUUUACCGUGUUCGCCAAGAUGGUCUCGAUCUCCUGACCUCUUCGUCCGCCCGCCUUGGCCUCCCAAAGUGCUGGGAUUAGAGGCGUGAGCCACCGCGCCCGGCCGGUCCACUAAUUCUUUUAAACUCUGUAAGGCAUUUUUUUUUCCUGUUUAAAUAUAUAUCGACAUUAGAUAGCUUUGGCUGUGGCAAAGAGGACCUGCUAUUGUAGGUCUGUGGGCUGGCAGUGACUGGGCGGGGCUCAUCUGAGAUUGGCGGGGCUCGGCUCUGUGCCAUGUACUGUCUCAUUCCGGAACAUGGACGGAAGGCGGGGUCGCUGUUGGGCAUGCUGUUCUCAGGAGGGCAAGCAAAGCUCUGGGGCACUGCUUCUGAAAGCCUCUGCUCACAAUCGGCAGCUGACACCUGCAGACAAUCUCCACUGUUGCAAAUUAUUCUCUGAAGGACAUACUUAAAACUAAAAGAUGUUGGAUCUCCAAUAUGAAUUUGUGGGAUGUCUGGACACAGACAGAUACACAGGAAGAACAUCACAUAAACAAGAAGACAGAGAUUGGGGUAAUGUUUCUACAAGUCAAGGAUUAACAAAGAUUGCCUGCAAACCACAGAAACCAGGAAAGAGGCCUCAAAGAGAUUCUCACUCACACCCUCAGGAGGAACCAACCUUGCUGACCUUAAUCUCGGACUUCUGGUCUCCCGAAUUGUGAGAAAAUAAAUUUCUGUUGUUUCAGCAAUUCAGUGUAUGGUACUUUGUUACAGGAGCCCUAACACAACAUGAACGACUGAAUCUGCAGAAAUUUAAUUCUGUUUUCGGAUCUAAACACUGGAAAAUUGAACAAAGGUAGAAGAUUCAGAGGCCACAAAGGCAGUGGAACACUUUGAGUAAAGAGCGUGGGCAUCGAAAUUGAAUAUUCCUUCUAUUUUCUGGAAAAAC